GAACCUUUAUUUAACUGAAUAGACAGAGAUCAGUGGACACAUGCAGCAGUUGAACAAGAUGGACAGGAGAACUGUGUUACUGCUUCUAACCGUCUGCUGGGCAGGUGUUAAUGGUCAGACUUUGACAGAAUCUGAACCGGUGGUUAAAAACCCUGGAAGUUCCCACAGACUGACCUGUACAGCUUCUGGAUUUGACUUCAGCAGCUACUGGAUGGCCUGGAUCAGACAGGCUCCUGGAAAAGGACUGGAGUGGAUUGCAGUUAUAGAAUAUGACAGUGAUAGUAUCUUCUACUCUCCGUCAGUCCAAGGCCGGUUUAUCAUCUCUAGAGAAAACAGCAAACAGCAGGUGUAUCUGCAGAUGAACAACCUGAAAACUGAAGAUUCUGCUGUUUAUUAUUGUGCUCGAUGAGCCACAGUGACUGAAGACAGAAAAGAAGCUGUACAAAAACCUCAGUUCAUGUUUUCAGAGACUUUCCCAUUUACUGUCACCUCAGUGACAAUUAAUGAAUUCACAGUAAAAGCUGCAUACCUUCACGACAUUUAUU